AGCAUCACUGGAUUUGUUUAUAUCUGGAGAAUCCAACUUGGAUAACUUGCUCUGAUGCCUCAAACGCUUGUCUACAUUACAUUCUCAAGCUCACACAACGCUUUCAUGCUCAGAAUAAUGACAAGAGAGUUCAGAGGAUAUUCCUUUCUAUAAUUCAGUGACUGGACAACUUUAAGUCUCAUGGGCAAGAGUAUUACCAUAAAUUCAGGCCAAGUGAGACUGAACACACCAGCUUCUCCUUAGGAUGCCAGAGUGAGUGAACAACUAUAAGGAAACAGUUUUGGGCAGGAGUGAGAACCACAUCAAAACAAGAGCAUCUUAUUCUGUGAGGACUACACAAUCUGGGAAUAGAUAAA